CGCAAGAGAACGCUAGAUAAGCGAAGAAAAAUGGCGCUGCCCUUUGUUGUGUAGUGGCUGGAGCUGCAGGAAGCAUCGCGAGUACCGCGAUGCUUUUGUGAUGACCGAUCAAUUAUUUCAACUGUGGUGCCGGCUGACGAAGGACACUGUGCGAUGGCUGUGCGGGGAGCUUCGCCAGGACCUGGAGAGGUGGCGUACGGACACGAGAACAGCCCCGACCGUUGUUGUUUUUGUUGAGCUACAAGUGCUUUGCGCCCUUCGCUUGUUCGCCACCGGCAGUUACCACGACGUGAUCGCGAACAACGAGGACGUGGCGACGAGCUAGUCCAGUGUGGGUCUCACGAUUCAUGCUGUCAUGGAAGCGAUCGUCGAGCGCCUCGGCAAUGAGUGGAUCGCCCUCCCUGCCAAAAGGAAGGCUUUGUCCACAUAGAUGCAAGAUUUGAACGCUGCGUUGAGGUGGUCGACGACACGUUCGUGUGCAUAAGUGCGCCGUAUGAAAAAGGACGAUGGCAACAAGGCUGCUUACUUUUGCCGCAUGAACUUUUACGCCGUCAGCGUCAAGGUGGUAUGUGGCCAACCCUGCCGAUGACUGGCCUCGCACUCGGGGCCCGUGCACGACGCCUUUAUGUGGAAGACAUCCACCGUGAGCCAGGACUGGGCAGUGGACGCCGUGGCCAGGCUGGUGAAUAGCUCCUUGGUGAUAGUGCAUACUCGCUUCAACCUUGGCUGCUUAACCCCAUCCCUGGAGCACAGCCUGCAGAAUCCUCUGCUGCCCGAUUCCACCGCACCCACUCUUCACUGCGGUGCGUCGUAUAACUGUGCACUGGAGUCCUCAAGGCCCACUUUCGGUGCUUGCAGAGGUACAGAACACUGUACUAUGGCCCACUCUUCACGUCGAAGAUCAUCGCUGUUUGUGUCGUGCUUCACAACCUCGGUGUUUGGCAGCAGCUGCCUGAGCCAGACGACAUCCCUUGCACUGAAGAACUCGAAUGAGAAUAUGCGGACCUUUACAACAACAAUAGCGACGAUACGGCUGCAGUAGACAUGUACCAGGCGGGUAGGCAAAGGCAGGAUCACGCUCUGUAGUGGUUCACAGCUGGGCAUGACUCGAUGUAAUGGGGUUUACAUUCCUGCGAGAUGUGCACAGAAACGUGAAACACAAGAAGCUCUUGCAUUGUAUUCGAUCCUAUACCUAUCCCCUGUACUUGUGUUCUUGCAGGAAUUGUAUUCUGACGAAAGCUUCAUUGUGUUCGUUCAUUGAGAGCACGCUAAUCGUACCAAGCAGUUAGGCAAAAGCAUGCUCAGCUUCUGCCGCAAAUCAUAGCAGGACUAGUUUGUUGAGACCAUAGUGACUCUGUAAACAGCCUGUGUUAUUUUGCAGCAGUGCAUGCAACAUUGAAUGCCAUUCCAGAGCAUUGUUUUCAGCACUUCAUUCACAAUGCGAACCCAUGUGAUGACUGCACGAGUCUGGCAGGUGUAUACAAAAGCUCUAUUCAUGUAGUAGCCACUCGUACAUGCAAGAGCACAAGCUUGCUGUGGUUGGUAAUCUAUGUAAACGCUUAUAGGCACAAAACGAACCAGUACCAAAAGGGGCAACGUGGGCACAGCACUGUGUAGCUACUUUCUGUCCUGGUUUCUCUAGUGGACUAUAAAAGUUUACAUGCAAGAGUAAUACAUGAUAUUUCAGAAUGUGUUGUGAGUCAAUUGAUCUUCUUCUGUCAAUUCAUCAUUGUGAGUCAAUUCAUCAUCCUUGCAAUAAUAAAAAGCAGUCAA